CUGUCCUUCCUCGACGCGCCCGCGCUGCCCGGCUCCGACGGGGGGCUCUUCCACUUCGCCCUGUGCCCGCCUCCCAGCCUGCUGCGCCAGGGCGCCGCGCUGCACUUCGCCGUGCGUUACCACAGCCCGCUGGGCGAGUUCUGGGACAACAACGGCGGCGCCAACUACACCCUGCACUGCCGCAGCACCCGCCUGGGCCAGGACGACCAGGAGCUGGAGGAGGAUGAGGAUGAGGAGGGGGCCCCGGGCGGGAGCCCCCCGGAGUCUGGUGGUCCCCUCUACUGAGCCGGUGUGGCCUGGUGGGCAACCCUGCCUCGGGCUGGCCGGCGCCGGCGGCACAUGGCCAACAGCUGGUGGACGGUGGGACCUGCUGGUCUGCACAUCAAUGCGCCCAAGCCUGACUUGAGGCAGCGAAUGCAGGGGAACGCAGCCGACGGGCCGGCGGUGUAGGGUGCAUCCGAGCCUGGCCUGGGCACAGGGCGGUGCCUCCGAGCCUGGUCUGAGCCAGCAACAGUGGCAUCCAGCUAACAAGUUCGCUGGUCCAGGCUGCGUCCAAGCCCAGCCUGGGUCAGCACUAGCAGAAUCCAGUCAGGGGCACUGCUGGUCUAGGGUGCGCCCAAGCCCUGCCCGGUGGCGGCAGCCCUGGCUGUUCAGGGGAACAGGCGUUGAGCCUUCAGUGGUGCCCUUCAUGCCAAGGCCCACCUGGCUGGGUCCAGGGCUGCAGGCCUGGCUGUCAACAUGUCAAGCAGGUGGUGUCCCGUUGCUGCCAGUACUGCUCUCCAUCCCCUUCUGAGAAAGACCUUGCUGCUUGGGCCCAGCCCUUUCUGAGCUUGGGAAGUAAAGACAAGAUCAGUUGGGCCAGGUGGGUGCUCGUCCUUGGCCUUAGGCACAGAGAAGGGUAUGUGGGAUUUGCCCGCUCCAGUAUUGUUGCCUCUUUUUUUGUCAAGUGAGCUCCCAGCACUGUGAGAGAUUUUUCUCUUUCAAGUUGAGAACUGGAAAUAUCCUGUUCAAGAUGGCUUUUUCUUUUCUUUUUUUAAAAUGUAUUUUUCUCUACCUUGAAGAUAGUGCCUUGGAUGAAGUUUCCUACGUCCAAAACUGAGACAGAACUUUGCAGUCAGUGUUACAACUGUUCUGUAUGCAUCAAAGCAUUUUUCUUUUUACGGAUAGAGCACGGUCUCGUUUAUGGGUAUUUAGGUAUUGCUGAACACAGGGACAGCUUGUUGGCAAAGCCUGCAGCUUAUUGCUAGGUCUUGCAGAAAUUUGAUUUUUUUUGAAAGACAAGAACUGGGUGAGGGGUGUAAAUGUGCAUGUGUAUUUUGCACAGAGUUCCUCUGGUCUUGAUUGUGCAAACUCUUUGUGCAUAAUCUUAUCUUUGCUCACCUCAGCAUUCAGUAAGACUCCUUGAACACUUGGGCUUGUGCAGUAAGGUCUUUACAGUUCGACCAAAAAACUUUCAAAUGAGGGGCCUACAUAAGCAGCCUGGAUUUGGGGAGUGCAUGCUACCUGCUGCUCCUGAUUUAUGUUGCCCUGUUUCAAGGUUUUACCAGGUCUGUUACAGAAAGGUAAAGGACAUAAAGCUACAGAGACACAAACAGGAGACAUCCAGAUUUGGAAGCAACAACUGGCUGGAAAUGGUUUGGGGACAAGGCAGGAAAGCAACAGCAAGGUUACUUAAGAAAAUGCAUAAGGGGGACUGUCCUUUUAAUUCUACUGCAUUUAAAAGUAUGCAAGGACUCUGGGACUUUUCAUGCUACUCUUGUAAACCUCGUUGCCUCUGCUGCACUCUUCAGCUCUUUAGAAACUACUUAAAAUGAACUAUUUGAAGUGGGAAAAGUAUCUGUGCAGUUCUGGUAAUGAAGUUUGUUUCCCCAUUGAU